AAUCAAUUUCUUCCAGCUUUCUAAUAUCUCUCCCAUUAAGCCUUCUGAGGAGAGGAACUACACCUGUUUUAUCUUGGUAACUAGCACUUUGCACCAUGCCUGACACAGAGGAGGUGUUUUAAAACUGUCUUUCAAUGGAUUACCACAGAAAAAAGUUGCUCACCUCUAGAAGAUGCUAGAGCAGGUACAGUGGAAAGAGCAUGGACUUGGAGGGCAGACAAAGGCAUGGACUUCGUGUUGAACUGCAGGUUUGAGCCAAGGAAUGGUGAGGCACCAAUUUGGUGGUUUCUGCCUUGGAG
rnacentral:lncRNA from 1 species